AUACGGAAGGUCCGGGCGUUAUCCGGAUUUAUUGGGUUUAAAGGGAGCGCAGGCGGAGAUGCAAGCGUGACGUCAAAUUUCGGGGCUCAACCCCGUCUCGCGGCGCGAACUGCGUCCCAUGGUUGCGGGAAGGGGAGGCGGAACUCGUGGUGUAGCGGGGAAAUGCAUAGAUAUCACGAAGAACACCGAUCGCGAAGGCAGCCUUCCGGCCCGUCAACGACGCUCAUGCUCGAAGGUGCGGGUAUCAAACAGGAUUAGAUACCCUGGUAGUCCGCACAGUAAACGAUGGACACCCGCGGUUUGGCCUAUAUGGCUGAGCCGCCAAGCGAAAGCGUUAAGUGUCCCACCUGGGGAGUACGCCGGCAACGGUGAAACUCAAAUGAAUUGACGGGG
rnacentral:rRNA from 1 species